rnacentral:rRNA from 1 species
CCACACUGUAAACGAUGAAUGCUAGGUGUAGGGGGUAUCGACCCCUUCUGUGCCGUAGUAAACACAAUAAGCAUUCCGCCUGGGGAGUACGGUCGCAAGAUUAAAACUCAAAGGAAUUGACGGGGGCCCGCACAAGCAGCGGAGCAUGUGGUUUAAUUCGAAGCAACGCGAAGAACCUUACCAGGUCUUGACAUCCAUUAAAAGCCGCAGAGAUGCGGUGUGAGCAUGCUCGUAAUGAGACAGGUGGUGCAUGGUUGU